rnacentral:piRNA from 1 species
AUGUUAUGUUGUAAAAUAUCUACUCUUUGA